rnacentral:lncRNA from 10 species
GAUCUACAUCUGUGUUUAAUUAGAAGAAGAAAUGAAUUCCCAUUAACACCAUUAGGAAACAUGCUAUGAUUGGUUAAAGCCUACAUGGACUGUGAAACUGAUCAAGAAAGCCCAGGAGAUCAUAAUGGAUUCUGGAGACUAACCCUUCUCAUCUCUGGAUGUCAUUUUCUUUCCUACUGGAGUCAAAACAUCUUCUCCUUUCUCAGGUGGAGUGUUUAAUGGUUUUUCCCUUCAUUGCUGCUUUGUAACCUUCGGUUAAGAGAAUAAAGUUCCCAGACGUCAUGAACUGAUCCAGGUAACCAAUGUAAGCACUCUGUUGUAUCAAUAUUAUUGCCUGUUUUUGACUCAAUUUUUCCCAAUUUUGGGAAAGGAGGGCUGAGAAAUGAGAGGCUGGGGAGGAGCUUACUUGAAUUAGUACAUUACAGUUGUAACCUGAAUAAUGGGAAAGUCUUUCUUAUAUUCUUUCACCUUUGGAUGAGUUUUACAUUGUCCAUAAGGCAGAAUCAUUAUAUUCUCAUCUCUAAAGUAAGAUGCCAUCAAAACAUUUACUAUAGUGUG